rnacentral:rRNA from 1 species
GGAGGGUGCGAGCGUUGUUCGGAAUCAUUGGGCGUAAAGCGCGUGUAGGCGGCAUGGUCAGUCGGGUGUGAAAGCCCGGGGCCCAACCCCGGAAAUGCACUCGAAACUGCCUCGCUAGAGUCCCGGAGAGGAAGGCGGAAUUCCCGGUGUAGAGGUGAAAUUCGUAGAUAUCGGGAGGAACACCAGCGGCGAAGGCGGCCUUCUGGACGGUGACUGACGCUGAGACGCGAAAGCGUGGGGAGCAAACAGGAUUAGAUACCCUGGUAGUCCACGCCGUAAACGUUGGGUGCUAGGUGUCGCGGGUAUUGACCCCCCUGCGGUGCCGUCGCUAACGCAUUAAGCACCCCGCCUGGGGAGUACGGUCGCAAGGCUA